UGGUGUGUGUGUUUUUAAUUGAAUGAAAUGAUUAUAAUAAUUGUUUUACUUUACCUUGAUUCUCGCAGAUGACUAUAUACGUCCAACUUCAACGAACAAGUCAAUGAUUUGCUUUCGUGAGAUGACUUUCCUUUUUAUAUUGGCCGGCUGCUGCUGCUGGGACUCGGGACGCUGAUGAUGAAGCACCAAACCCUUAUUAGAAGAUUCGCCUUCCAUAUCUAAUUAACAUGUAUGCUGCGAUGAAUCGAGCAAUAACCGCACUUGGAAAAAGGGAGGAGACAAAUCAAUCGGACCAGCAGAUGUCGGGAAUUGGUAAAUUUUUGGCGAGGACACAGAGGAAUAUAUAAGAGUAAGAACAGAAGCACGGUCCCCAAUAACUCUCAACACCGGUUAUUCCGGCUAAACGGACACCUUGUAUAGACCGAUGUAUAUAGAUAUGCUGUCCAACCGACCCUUGUAUACACAAGUGCACAUCAUCCAACUCGAUCCAACUAAAAAAACCUGGGCCAUCCAGCGAUUACGCGUCGUUGAUGCAUCUGACAUUCGAUACAUUAUAUCCUUGUCCAUUACAGCCUGAAUUGUCCAUGGCAUCCAACAUGUUUUCUGCAUUUGCCUCACAUUUAUCUUGUAUAGAGAAAACCAGUUUUGACGUGUGGCCAAAGAUUUUUCUGUUUCGUUGCAGGAUGAGUCAACGCCCUUUGCAGUUUUCUUGUGCGUGUAUGUACCAAAGUGCAGUUCACUUUACCUUGAAAUAUUUUAUUGAUUAUUCUUCAACAUUUUUUGAUUUAUUCUCCAACUUUGCUCUCCAUUUCAUUUCGUUUCUUUUUCUAAUUUUUAUUAUGGCGUUGUACCAGGAGUUGGGAAUACUUUUAUGGCAACAUUUUAUUAAUGGAAAUGUAUAGAAUUGGUAAGAGACAUUUUCGAGACUGUGGAGAGCCAUCACUAACAUCAACAGUCAAAGGAGUUGACCACUAAAACAAAUAUUAUGGAAAUUUUACUCGUAACGUCCAAGGGGUAGCCAUAACUUUCUGUUGUGACUUUGAAGUUGGGCCUUUUUACAAAUCUAACGUAGCACAUGCUGAGGAGUAGUCGAACAAAGGUUGUGGAGGCCGGAGAUGUUUCCCCAUCACAUGUUAUUGUUGGCAGACAAUUUAUUUUUGCUCCGACUUCCCUCAUUAGAGUAAAUGGAUUUCGCGACGUAAGAGGGUAAGAAUCAGUUUGAUUUUAAUAACUGCUUGUUAAAACGACUGAUACGAUUGCACGAGUGAAUAUGAUGCUGAUGUGCCCUUUUCCACAUAAUGCAGU